rnacentral:snoRNA from 13 species
GCUGAGGAAUGAUGACACAAAAGGCCGAAUUGCAGUGUCCCCGUCUACAGUUUGCUCUCUGUGGGCUCACGGUGACAAAACUUCCUGAAGCGAAACAGCGCUCUGACCUCAGC